GGAAGUAUGGCUGAGUGGCUGAAAGCGGCACCCUGCUAAGGUGUUAUACCAGCUUAUGGUAUCGGAAGUUCGAAUCUUCCUGCUUCCG
rnacentral:tRNA from 1 species